AACGAAAAAAAACAACAUUCAGUCUAUCACUGUUAUGGUUUUCACUAAGGCAGUUGGGACAUUGAGUUCCAGGCUACAUGUGUCAGUGUUAUUUGUGUUGUGCAAAAUCUUGUACUGAGUGUAUGUUCAUUCCCAGAAAGAGAUAAGAGCAGAUCCUAUAGAAUAAAAGAUGUAGAUCCUGAUUCAUAAGUAUAUUCUUGCUGAAAGAGUCUGGGUCUGUCCACUAGUGCGUGGUGCAAUUGUCAGUAGCAAGCACUAAGAAAUUUAAAGAAGUUAAAUUUAUUAAGUUAUUUUUUUAACAAAAAUGUAUUU